UACGUAGGGUGCAAGCGUUGUCCGGAAUUAUUGGGCGUAAAGAGCUCGUAGGCGGUUUGUCGCGUCGAAUGUGAAAACCCGGGGCUCAACUCCGGGCCUGCAUUCGAUACGGGCAGACUAGAGUUCGGUAGGGGAGACUGGAAUUCCUGGUGUAGCGGUGAAAUGCGCAGAUAUCGGGAGGAACACCAGUGGCGAAGGCGGUUACCUGGAGCUUUGCUGACGCUGAUGCGCGAAAGCGUGGGGAGCAAACAGG
rnacentral:rRNA from 1 species